GGGUGCGUGUGCGAGGGCCGCCGUAACAAAAUACCAGACUGAGUGGCUCAUCAGAAAUUCACUUUCUCGCAGUCCUGGAGUCUGCAAGUCCAAGAUCAAGGCGUCGGCAGGUCAAGGUCUCACGGUGCGUGGGUUCGAGCCCCGAAACGGGCUCUGUGCUGAUACCGAGGAUCCUGCAGGAAUUUAGGGACUUUUAUCCCGAAGGCAAUGGGAAACCAUGAAAGGUUUAAGUAGGAGACUAGAGAGGUCAAGUUGAAAUUUUAGAGUAGCUCUCUGAUUGCCCCAUGUACAUGUCCUGGAUGGAGAGAAAGCCUGGAGGCCGUCAGGACAGCAAGGAGGCUGCUACUCUAACCCAGCUCGGUGCCAUGGAACAGGACCACAAGAAAGAUAGGACCCUGACCCGGAGAAGCUGGAAUUCCCACAUAUGGAGGAAGAGCCUGUGAGGAGAGAGAGACAGAGCAUGAACGGGGGAGGGGCAGAGAGAGAGG